rnacentral:rRNA from 1 species
GGGGGAGCAUUUGGCUUAUUUGAUUCAACGGGGGAAUCUUAUCGGGUCCGGACACACUGAGGAUGACAGACGGUUAUUGACUUAAACCCGUUUAAUAGAUUUUAAUCUGUUUAACACUUAACACCUUUACACAAAGAUGCUAGUCCUUUCAUGAUCGUAUGAUAGGUGGUGCAUGGCCGUUCUUAGUUCGUGGAGUGAUCUGUCUGCCUAAUUGCGUUUCACUAAGGUCCCAUUCUUCAUACGUAUGAAUAGCGUCUUAACUCACUCUUACCGCUACCUAUUUGUAGUAAGCGCUCAUACUAUUGGGACCGGAAUGCAACGAGCGCGACUGCACCACCUAAUUGCCCCUUAUCUACCAUUAACUACUAUUAACCGCCCUGUAUGGGCACCGGGGCCUUACCUUUACUGAAACUAGCUGGACCGCUGCUUUCCUUUAAGCCAGAGGAAGGUUGCGGCAAUAACAGGUCUGUGAUGCCCUCAGAUGUUCCGGGCCGCACACGUGCUACAAUGAUCAGCACAAAGAGUAUUACCUUAUUUCUUAUACCUAACCUAAUAUGUUAUCCUUUCUGCGUAGGGUAUGUCUAACGAUGUAUCCGCUUAAGCGUUUAAAGAUUAUUAGGCGGUUAUGCCUGCCUCGAGAGAGUGUCCAGGGCAGCAAGAGUAAUGAUUCCCUCGUUUUUACUACUAAUACCGCGCUUGGUAACAUAUAACACUCGAUUAAGUAGGGUCUUUGCUAUAUUAGCAUUGCUAUCCUCACCCUUAGCCUCUAAGGAUAUUCGUAUCUCUUAAUAGACUACAGGGAGGUGUAUAUGGCGCACUUACUUAUUCACGGUGGGGACAGACCAUUGUUAACUGUUGGUCUCGGUCUCAACUAGGAAUGCCUCGUACGGGUUGGUUCACCAAACCACCCGGAAUAUGUCCCUGCCCUUUGUACACACCGCCCGUCGCUCUUAUCGAUGAACUCACUUGUGAGGCUAAGGGACUGCGCUAAUCUUUAACCCGUAUAUUCGCUAUACGCUAAAUACAUUUUGCUAAAAGCUAAUUUGCUUUAAGCAAUUGCACAUACUUGCGCACAAACUUAUUCGACCAAGG